rnacentral:rRNA from 1 species
GGCUCCAUGAACGAAAGUGUGAGCAGCAACGCCGCGUGAGCGACGAAGUGCUCCCAUGUAACGUCGUAGUCGUGACAAAAAACAGCUAUUACCGUCUGAUAGUACCUGAAAAGUAAGGAUCGACUAACUACGUCCCAGCACCCGCGGUAAUACGUAGGAUCCAAGCGUUGUCCAGAUUUACUGGGUGUAAAGGGUGCGCAGGCGGACUUGUUAGUCAGAGGUGAAAUCUCACUGCUCAACAGUGAAACUGCCUUUGAUACUGCAGGUCUUGAAUCCAGAAGAGAGUUGUGGAAUCCCGAGUGUAGCAGUGAAAUGUGUAGAUAUUCGGAAGAACACCAGCGGCGAAGGCAGCAACUUGGUCUGGUAUUGACGCUCAGGCACGAAAGCAUGGGGAUCAAACAGGAUUAGAUACCCUGGUAGUCCAUGCCCUAAACGAUGAUCACUUGAUGUCGGCCCUCAGGGUCGGUGUCGAAGCUAACGCGUUAAGUGAUCCACCUGGGGAGUACGCUCGCAAGGGUGAAACUCAAAGGAAUUGACGGGGGCCCGCACAAGCAGUGGAGCAUGUGGUUUAAUUCGAUGCAACGCGAAGAACCUUACCUAGGCUUGAAAGGCUCUCUAAACCGGUGAAAGCCGGCUACCCGCAAGGGGGGGAGUACAGGUGCUGCAUGGCUGUCGUCAGCUCGUGUCGUGAGAUGUUGGGUUAAGUCCCGCAACGAGCGCAACCCUUGUCAUUAGUUGCUACAUUUAGUUGGGCACUCUAAUGAGACUGCCGGUGACAAACCGGAGGAAGGUGGGGAUGACGUCAAGUCCUCAUGGCCCUUAUAGGUAGGGCUACACACGUCAUACAAUGGCUGGUACAGAGGGUUGCCAACCCGCGAGGGGGAGCUAAUCCCAUAAAACCAGUCGUAGUCCGGAUCGUAGUCUGCAACUCGACUACGUGAAGUCGGAAUCGCUAGUAAUCGCGGAUCAGAAUGUCGCGGUGAAUACGUUCCCGGGUCUUGUACACACCGCCCGUCACACCAUGGGAGCGGGUUCUGCCAGAAGUAGUUAGCCUAACCGCAAGGAGGGCGAUACCACGGUCACACUACAAACUGAAG